rnacentral:tRNA from 1 species
UCCCUGGUGGUUCAGUGGCUAAGACUCUGUGCUUUCAAUGCAGGGGGCCCUAGUUCAAUUCCUGGUCAGGGAA